CGCUGGUCGUUGGCUCCGGGGUCGGAGUGGGACCCGGGCUGAAGCCGAGGCUCGGACCCGGCCCAAGGCUGAGCCCGGCGCCGGGGCCGGCGCUGGACGCAGGGACGAGGGCGAGGGAAGAUGUGUGGAGAAACAGACAGGAUAAGGAGGAAAGACACUGCUGAGCCUUCACCGUCUUGAAACCACAGGCUGAGAUAAACCGAGAACACGCAUGGCAAAGGAUCCAGCUGAAGCCAACUGUGCAGGCACCACUCCUAUUUGCCUCAGAACCCCUCAUUGUGUUAAUGACAUUAAAAUCCACAAUCACAUUAAAUAAGCAGUAAUUAGAGGCAGACUGACUCAACUCAUCCAACUAUCUCCUCUCAGAGUUUAGGGAGGGACUUGGGAGGCAAUUUGUGCAAUGGGCGAAGACUGAAAACAGAAAGGGGCCUGCCACAGGUGCUCUUGCCUGCAAUCCCAGCAACUUGGGAGGCUGAGGCAGGCAGAUCACUUGAGGUCAGGAAUUCAAGACCAGCCUGGCCAAUAUGGUGAAAACCCAUCUCUACUAAAAAGACAAAAAUUGGCUGGGCAUGGUGGCCCAUGUCUGUACUCCAAGCUACUCAGGAGGCUGAGGCAGGAGAAUUGCUUGAACCCAGGAGGUGGAGGUUGCAGUGAGCCGAGAUCAUGCCACUGCACUCCAGCCUGGGCAACAAACUGAGACUCCAUCUCAAAUAAUAAAAAUAAAAAAGAAGGAGAUGAUGGGCUGGGAUUGUAAAUCACGAGGGAUGCUACACCUGCAAUCUUGAGGGCUUCUUGGGACCUACAAACCUGAUGUCACUCCUGCUGAUGGGGUGAUUGAAUGUAAAGAAAACAGGUUCUCUGGCCUCCCCUUCUUUCUCAUCUUCCUCACUAUUUACGAGAAAAUCCCAGGAUUCGGAUUAAGCCCAUUCUCUAGGUGUGGUGACACUGGUGAAGUGGCUUGAGUCAUUUUGCUUCCUGUAUUGCCUCCUGUUUACUCUUGCUGCCACCAAGAAGGGUCUGGACCACCCAAGGGGGAAAGAACAUGUAAAAGGGAGAGAUAACAUAGUGCUUAGAAAAUACGGCCAGGCACGGGCUCAUGCCAAUGGGAGGCCAAAGAGGGCAAAUCUCCUGAGCCCAGGAGUUUGACACCAGGCUGGACAACAUGGUGAAAUCCUGUCUCUACAAAAACUACAAAAAAUUGGCCGGGCAUGGUGGCACACACCUGUGGUGGCAUACACCUUUGGUACCAGCUACUUGGGAGGCUGAGGUGGGAGGAUCACUGGAGUCCAUGAGGGUAAGGCUGCCGUGAGCCAUGCAUGAUCUUUCCGCUGUACUCAGGCAUAGGUGACAGUAAGACCCUGUCUAAAAUAAAAAAGAGACAAAGAGAAAGGAAGGAAGAGAAAGAGAGAGAGAGGGAGGAAGGGAAAGGAGGGAGGGAAGGAAGGAAGGAAAUUAAAUUAAGCUAGCUAUUUGGGAAGAAAUAAAUUUAAAGCUAUGUGGCACAUUGUAUACCAAAGCUAAUUCCAAGUAGAUUAAAGGGUUAAUAAUAAUAAUGAUGCAACAAAAUACUGGAUAAAAAGAUUGGCAAGUGUUUAUCUCAUCUUUGGAUACCGAAAAUUUUUCUAAGCACAAUAGUAACAGAAGAACUCAUAAUGGGAAGCUCAGUAGACAUGGAUACAUAAAAACUUUAGGCCGGGUGCGGUGGCUCAAGGCUGUAAUCCCAGCACUUCGGGAGGCCGAGGCGGAUGGAUCACAAGGUCAAGAGAUCGAGACCAUCCUGGUCAACAUGGCGAAACCCCGUCUCUACUAAAAAUACAAAAAAUUAGCUGGGCAUGGUGGUGAGCACCUGUAAUCCCAGCUACUCAGGAGGCUGAGGCAGGAGAAUUGCCUGAACCCAGGAGGUGGAGGUUGCGGCGAGCCAAGAUUAAGCCACUGUACUCCAGCCUGAGUGACAGAGUGAGACCCCGUCUCAAAACAAAUAAAAAGCAAAAAACAAAAACAAAAACUUUAAACUUUGGUAUAGUAAAAACAUUAUUUAAGAAAUUUAGAGAAAAUUUAUGAUUAAUUUAUAAAGCAGCUUUAUUGUGUUAUUUUAUAGGAAAAGAGGCUAAUUACAUAAAUAGACAUAAGAUCACAAAAGAGAUGCAAGCAGCCAAUAUGUUUGUGAAAAUAUUCGCAUUUACUAGUAACCAGAGCAAUUAAAUUGGAGCAAUUAGAUGUCGUUUUCCAGUACUGGAAAAGAUUCAGAUAUAUGCUAUUAUGUGGCAAGGAUACAAUCAACGUGGAUAUAUCCUAUCAUAGAAACAACCAUGAAAACAGAGCGCCUACUUCCAGGAGUUCUCAUAGAAAUCUUUGGAUUAAUUUGGGAUUAAUAAGGGGGAACUAUUGUACAGUAAUGUUUGUUUGGCCACUUUUCUUAAAAGGAAGCUAGGCUGGGCAGGGUGGCUCAUGCCUGAAAUCCCAGCACUUUGGGAGGCCCAGGCGGGCAGAUCACCAGAUCAGGAAAUUGAGACCAUCCUGGCCAACAUGGUGAAACCCGGUCUCUACUAAAGCUACAAAAAUUAACCUGGCAUGGUGGCAGGCUUCUGUAGUCCCAGCUACUCAGGAGGCUGAGGCAAGCAAGUCGCUUGAACCUGGGAGGCAGAGGUUGCAGUGAGCCGAGAUCAUGCCACUGCACUCCAGCCUGGCAAGAGAGCCAGACUCUGUCUCAAAAAAGAAAAGAAAGAAGAAAAAGAAAGAAAGAAAGAAA